rnacentral:rRNA from 1 species
UACGUAGGGUGCAAGCGUUGUCCGGAAUUAUUGGGCGUAAAGAGCUCGUAGGCGGUUUGUCGCGUCGAAUGUGAAAACCCGGGGCUCAACCCCGGGCCUGCAUUCGAUACGGGCAGACUAGAGUGCGGUAGGGGAGACUGGAAUUCCUGGUGUAGCGGUGAAAUGCGCAGAUAUCAGGAGGAACACCGGUGGCGAAGGCGGGAUCCUGGGCCAGUAC